CCGGUAGCUCGCUGGGCUCAUAACCCAGAGGUCGCAGGUUCAAAUCCUGUCCCCGCUA
rnacentral:tRNA from 1 species